GGGGGCGCAAUGGUUUCGACGGGGGAUGAGAUGGGUCGAGCAGCGAGCCGAGUUGUUGCCAGCUCGUUAAAAAGGUAAACUUUAAAUUUAACUGCAGAAGAUAAUUUUGCACUAGCCGCUUAAGCGGCUCGUCCGGCUAAGAUUCCUCAUGGCUUAGCGCAGGGCGUAACUUAGUGAGGGUACCUUGUAAUCUUUUUUCCCGAGGGGUCAACAAGGGAAAUUAAUCGGGGAUAGUUUCAAAAAAACCUGUGCGCGGGUUUUGCGAAAUAAAAUUAAAACACGUACUGCGCUCGGAGAUACUCUGCUGGUCUUUCUUUCGGACGGGAGUUCGAUUCUCCCCGCCUCCACCA
rnacentral:tmRNA from 1 species